rnacentral:lncRNA from 1 species
AAGUUAUGUUCGUGACUCGAUCAGCAAUUGAGGACUGUCCUUGGGCUCAAUAGUAUUUAAUGCAAGAGCAACUGCCCAAAUUGUUUAGGAAGGGACGAUUCAUUUCAUUGCACUUGCACAAUAGUAAGGUAUGUCAAGAAUAACCCUUUCACUCGAAAGAUCCUCAUCCACUCUCCCCCAGAGGUUUAAGCAUCCUCAUAACAAGUAGUUUGGUGGCGUGAGUGACCUAAUCAACCCUUGGCUUAUGUUUGUCCUUACCACAUGUUUCUAUGAUCAACUUCUUCCACAAGUUCAGAUGCACUGUGUCCACUGAUGAAACCGUAUGUCCCUAUAUGAUCGACCUAAAUCUAAUGAAUUCUCUGGAAGUAUUGUUUUCACUCGAGAUUACGAGAUUAUGUCCAACAAAUUUGAGCCAUAGUACUCAUAGAUACUUUUCGAUAACACCUAAUAUUAGACAUAUUGUCCAAACAUAAGACACGUUUAUUUUUUUAUCGCUAACUCGAAAUACAAAUCUUAGGUGUGGUCUAAAAUCAAUUUUAUUAAAUAUUUCACUUUUACUUGCACCUAGCCGCCCACCCACCGUCCAAUUUGAUCCAGCCUCUAGUGGAGAUGCGAUGUGUUGCCGACAAUUGCCACUGUUGAUAAGAGGUCACAUGUCCAUGAAGGAUGUAUAAGAAUCUUUUCAUUUUUUAUUUUAUUUUAUUUUUUCCUUGGAAAAAAAUAAAAUUGUUAGUACUGAAUUUGUUUUUACUAAUGCAGACAAAGAUUAAGGGACCGUUUGGAAGUGAUUUUUCACUUCAAAAAAUUGAUUUUUUAUCGUUAUCUAACUAUUUCAACCGUAAAGUUUGACUUCUUCUCUUACAGAUGACUCCCAUAUUUUUUCUUAACGAUCAAAAAAUCAAUUCUCAAAAUCGCUUCCAAAUAGGGCCUAAAAAUAUUCAACGACUGAAGAGUAUGUUUUCAAGAGUAAAUUAUAGGCUAGUAAAUCAGUCUUACAUUAAUAGACAAAUUAAACAACUAAAUAAAACCAUCAACAUGAAAAAAAUGAAUUUAACAAACUAAAACAAGAAAUUUCUCAAAAUAACAAUUUUAUUUAAAUUACUGAAUAAACAAAUUUUACCCCAAACAUUUUCCUAAUGAAUUACAUAAAAUCACAUAAUCAAGCUAAAUUUAAUCCAAUAAAUGUGAUUAAAAUUUAAAAUCCAUCAUCAAAUAAAGUUAAACGAGGUUUCUUGGAUGGCAUAGGGCUCUCCACUUCUUGGUCACCAAGAAAUUGACUUUUCUUCUCAAAGUCAACGGUCAACUCCAAUUGGAACUCUGGCGUCGCUGGCAGAUUCAGAUCGAAGUCCCUUGGGGCGUGGCUGGCCACACCGCUGUCGGAGGUGGUGACGCCA